rnacentral:rRNA from 1 species
GGUCCCGCCUGCCCUGUGACUAUUAGUUUAACGGCCGCGGUAUCCUGACCGUGCGAAGGUAGCGCAAUCACUUGUCUUUUAAAUGAAGACCUGUAUGAAUGGCCUAACGAGGGCUUAACUGUCUCCUUUUUCUAGUCAAUGAAAUUGAUCUCCCCGUGCAGAAGCGGGGAUACUUACAUAAGACGAGAAGACCCUAUGGAGCUUUAGACGACAAGUCGGUUCACAUAAUCAACCUAUAAUUAAAAGAGUGAACCAAAUGAAUCCCGACUUAAUGUCUUUGGUUGGGGCGACCGCGGGGAAACAAAAAACCCCCAUGUGGAAUGAAAGCGAGACACUUUUACAAACCUGAGCCACACCUCUAGUUAACAGAAUUUCUGACCGAAAGAUCCGGCAAAGCCGAUCAACGGACCGAGUUACCCUAGGGAUAACAGCGCAAUCCCCUUUUAGAGCCCAUAUCGACAAGGGGGUUUACGACCUCGAUGUUGGAUCAGGACAUCCUAAUGGUGCAGCCGCUAUUAAGGGUUCG